AACGAACGCUGGCGGCAGGCCUAAUACAUGCAAGUCGAACGCCGUAGCAAUACGGAGUGGCAGACGGGUGAGUAACGCGUGGGAACCUUCCUAAUGGUACGGAAUAGCCCGGGGAAACCCGGAGUAAUACCGUAUAAGCCCGUAAGGGGAAAGAUUUAUCGCCAUUAGAUGGGCCCGCGUCGGAUUAGCUAGUUGGUAGGGUAACGGCCUACCAAGGCUACGAUCCGUAGCUGGUCUGAGAGGAUGAUCAGCCACACUGGGACUGAGACACGGCCCAGACUCCUACGGGAGGCAGCAGUAGGGAAUAUUGGACAAUGGGCGAAAGCCUGAUCUAGCCAUGCCGCGUGAGUGAUGAAGGCC
rnacentral:rRNA from 1 species